UAUGAUAAAUAAAUAAAAUACUUGUAAGGAAAACAAGAUAUUGUGAAAAAAAACUGGUCAAAAUAAUUGGUAUAAGCAUUGUUUUUUUGCCAAGAUAAAGCACAUUCAUUUGGUAAUCAUGCAAAUGGCAGGCAAGAUGUGUUGAGUUUCUUCUUCAUUUACAUUGGUAAAAUGAUACCAGAAAGGCAUAAAUUGAGAAAUGCCUUCAAACAUUAAGUUUUAGCUAUCCAAAGUACUACAGAAAGUACGGAAUAUGGUACGAUUUUACAAAAAAUACUUUUCAUCAAACAAUUUCCCUCAGUGCAGCUCGACGGCUAGCUGUUUGAAAAGGGAGGGACAGAUGUUAUGUGGGGCCACACCUACAGGAGGGCCACGGCUGUAACUUAAGGGGGUAAGUAUGUUCACGUUUUCUAUUGCUACAAUACAAUUUAAAUCAUCCAACUCCAUACCAGUGCUACUCCAAACAGAAGCUGGAAUGAUUUUUUAUGGAUUUUACAAGUUCAGCAGGUUGAGGAUUUUUUUUGAAACUUCUAUGCACAGGGAAGACUAGCCUUAUUCUGAAACUGUGAGGAGCAAGUGAAUUAAACGCUCAAGGCCAGGAGCAGCAAGCCACAAAGGCAAGCAGCAGCGGCAAGCAAAACAAACAACCAGCAGCAGCAAGCGGCAAAGCAAGCAGCCAGCAGUGGCAACAACAGCAGCAAAGCAAGCCAGUAUCGAACAGUAGCAGCCAGCAGCAGGCAGAGACGACUCCUCACCUUGUUGUUCAUGGCGGCCUGGUCGGACGGAUCAGGGAGGCGAGAGGACGGACGGCAGCGAGUUCUGGACGGCCUCAAUGGCGGUCAGCGGUCGAG